rnacentral:rRNA from 1 species
GAUGAACGCUGGCGGCGUGCUUAACACAUGCAAGUCGAACGGAAAGGCCCAAGCUUGCUUGGGUACUCGAGUGGCGAACGGGUGAGUAACACGUGGGUGAUCUGCCCUGCACUUCGGGAUAAGCCUGGGAAACUGGGUCUAAUAUCGGAUAGGACCACUUCUUGGAUGUUGUGGUGGAGAGUUUUUUCGGUGUGGGAUGAGCUCGCGGCCUAUCCGCUUGUUGGUGGGGUGAUGGUCUACCAAGGCGUCGACGGGUAGCCGGCCUGAGAGGGUGUACGGCGACACUGAGACUGAGGGACGGCCCAAGCUCCGACGGGAGGCAGCAGUGCGGAAGAUUGCACAAUGGGCGCAAGCCUGAUGCAGCGAGGCCUCGUGUGGGAUGACGGCCUUCGGGUUGUAAACUCCUUGCGCUAGGGACGAAGCGUUUUGUGACGGUACCUGGAGAAGAAGCACCGGCUAACUACGUG